ACAUGUGCUGACACUGCAGAGGCCUGACGGAUGGAAGAUGUGGCAAUUGAGAUAGAGCAACUUCAGGUAUCCAUGAAAAAGGAACCACUUUUCAUGAAGACAUUGAUAAACAGACAUCCAAGAAUCCAGGAGGUGUAGAAUCAUGGCGCGCUCCCCAGAGGGAGGCAUCUCCUACCAGCUUGAGGUCCUGAGACCCACAGAGGGACUGUCUCUGCCCCAGAAAGGUGAAGACCAGAUGUAAGGUGAGUGAAUGAGUCAGGUUUUCACCAUGCUGGCCUCUGUCGCUGUCACCUGCGACCUUGAAUGCAGGAGGCGCUUGGGAGCGUGGGCGUGGGCACGCGUGCCUGAUGGUGGACAACUGGAGCAUAUUGGGCAGGCGUAAGUGUGCACACCUGGGCCUGGGGGCUGAGGAUUUAAGGGCAGCGACCUUCAGAGACAGUCUAAGGAGGGGCGACUACAGCAGAGCAGCUACGAGAGGAGACCAUGAGAGAAUCCAAAGAGGGUCCAAAUAGAAAAAGUAAAGAUUCACUGGUGUGAGCUGACCAGGAUGAACGGACAACACACACUGUGAGCUGCUGACCUAAGGGAUACUCUGAAGAUGACAGGAGGAACGCCCCACCCUGCUUCCUCCCUCCACGGAGUCCUCAGUUACCUGCAAGUAAACACCUGUGAGGACUGGACAAUCUGGAGGCCCACAAGG